rnacentral:rRNA from 1 species
AUUGAACGCUGGCGGCAUGCUUUACACAUGCAAGUCGAACGGUAACAGGCCUUCGGGUGCUGACGAGUGGCGAACGGGUGAGUAAUGCAUCGGAACGUACCCAGAGGUGGGGGAUAACGCAGCGAAAGCUGUGCUAAUACCGCAUGUGAUCUGAGGAUGAAAGUGGGGGACCGAGCAGCAAUGUUUGGCCUCGCGCUUUUGGUGCGGCCGAUGUCGGAUUAGCUAGUUGGUGGGGUAAAGGCCUACCAAGGCGACGAUCCGUAGCUGGUCUGAGAGGACGACCAGCCACACUGGGACUGAGACACGGCCCAGACUCCUACGGGAGGCAGCAGUGGGGAAUUUUGGACAAUGGGCGCAAGCCUGAUCCAGCAAUGCCGCGUGCGGGAAGAAGGCCUUCGGGUUGUAAACCGCUUUUGGCAGGAACGAAACGGUGUCCGCUAAUACCGGGCGCUAAUGACGGUACCUGCAGAAUAAGCACCGGCUAACUACGUG